CUUUGGCAGGAUACCUGUAGAGUGGCAAUGAAACCGUUACCAUUACUGAGUUUAGUAAUGGUAAGGGUUCUGUUGCUGCUCUUCCAUUCGCCAUUGAGAUUC
rnacentral:pre_miRNA from 14 species